rnacentral:rRNA from 1 species
UACGGGGGGGGCAAGCGUUGUUCGGAAUUACUGGGCGUAAAGCGUGCGUAGGUGGUUCGUUAAGUCUGUCGUGAAAGCCCCGGGCUCAACCUGGGAAUGGCGAUGGAUACUGGCGAGCUAGAGUGCGGUAGAGGAGAGUGGAAUUCCCGGUGUAGCAGUGAAAUGCGUAGAGAUCGGGAGGAACAUCAGUUGCGAAGGCGGCUCUCUGGACCAGCACUGACACUGAGGCACGAAAGCGUGGGGAGCAAACAGG